GGAUGUGAGGGUGAUCCAUCCCUUCACUGAUCGCCAGGGUUGAUUUGGCUGAUCUGGCUGCUGGUGGGGGUGUCCCCUUGUCCCCCCAGGGCUCCAUGCAUAUCUGUUCUGAAGCUGUGCACUUGGUCAAAGAGGAUGACCUUCCCAGAUAGAGGAGGACCAUUCUUUGGUCAAGGGUAUAGAAGUAGCUGUGCUCCCCUGCUAGAACUUCUAAAUAAGAAAAAAAAAAAAAAAAAAAGGGAUGCCUGGGUGGCUCGGUG
rnacentral:snRNA from 1 species